rnacentral:rRNA from 1 species
UACGGGAGGCAGCAGUAAGGAAUAUUGGUCAAUGGACGCAAGUCUGAACCAGCCAUGCCGCGUGGAGGAUGAAGGCCCUCUGGGUUGUAAACUUCUUUUAUCUGGGACGAAACCCUCAUAUUCUUAUGAGACUGACGGUACCAGAGGAAUAAGCACCGGCUAACUCCGUGCCAGCAGCCGCGGUAAUACGGAGGGUGCAAGCGUUAUUCGGAUUCACUGGGUUUAAAGGGUGCGUAGGAGGGCAGGUAAGUCAGUGGUGAAAUCUCCAAGCUUAACUUGGAAACUGCCGUUGAUACUAUCUGUCUUGAAUAUUGUGGAGGUGAGCGGAAUAUGUCAUGUAGCGGUGAAAUGCUUAGAUAUGACAUAGAACACCAAUUGCGAAGGCAGCUCACUACACAAUCAUUGACUCUGAGGCACGAAAGCGUGGGGAUCAAACAGGAUUAGAUACCCUGGUAG